rnacentral:rRNA from 1 species
AGUGAACGCUGGCGGUAGGCCUAACACAUGCAAGUCGAACGGCAGCACAGUAAGAGCUUGCUCUUACGGGUGGCGAGUGGCGGACGGGUGAGGAAUACAUCGGAAUCUACUUUUUCGUGGGGGAUAACGUAGGGAAACUUACGCUAAUACCGCAUACGACCUACGGGUGAAAGCAGGGGAUCUUCGGACCUUGCGCGAUUGAAUGAGCCGAUGUCGGAUUAGCUAGUUGGCGGGGUAAAGGCCCACCAAGGCGACGAUCCGUAGCUGGUCUGAGAGGAUGAUCAGCCACACUGGAACUGAGACACGGUCCAGACUCCUACGGGAGGCAGCAGUGGGGAAUAUUGGACAAUGGGCGCAAGCCUGAUCCAGCCAUACCGCGUGGGUGAAGAAGGCCUUCGGGUUGUAAAGCCCUUUUGUUGGGUAAGAAAAGCAGCAGGUUAAUACCCCGCUGUUCUGACGGUACCCAAAGAAUAAGCACCGGCUAACUUCG